CAGUCGCCGCGGUAAUACGUAGGUGGCAAGCGUUGUCCGGAAUUAUUGGGCGUAAAGGGCUCGCAGGCGGUUUCUUAAGUCUGAUGUGAAAGCCCCCGGCUCAACCGGGGAGGGUCAUUGGAAACUGGGAAACUUGAGUGCAGAAGAGGAGAGUGGAAUUCCACGUGUAGCGGUGAAAUGCGUAGAGAUGUGGAGGAACACCGGUGGCGAAAGCGGCUCUCUGGUCUGUAACUGACGCUGAGGCUCGAAAGCGUGGGGAGCAAACAGGAUUAGAUACCCCGGUAGUCCCUGUCUCUUAUAC
rnacentral:rRNA from 1 species